rnacentral:rRNA from 1 species
AACGAACGCUGGCGGCAUGCCUAACACAUGCAAGUCGAACGAGACCUUCGUGACUAGUGGCGCACGGGUGCGUCACGCGUGGGAACCUGCCCUUAGGCUCGGAAUAACUCCCCGAAAGGGGUGCUAAUACCGGAUAAUUUCUUCGGACCAAAGAUUUAUCGCCUUUGGAGGGGCCCGCGUUGUUUUAGCUAGUUGGUAGGGUAAAAGCCUAUCACGGCGACGAUCCAUAGCUGGUCAGAGAGGAUGAGCAGCCACACUGGGACUGAGACACGGCCCGGACUACUACGGGAGGCAGCAGUGGGGAAUAUAGGAAAAUGGGCGAAAGCCUGAUCCAGCAAGGCCGCGUGAGUGAUGAAGGCCUUAGGGUUGUAAAGCUCUUUUACCCGGGAUGAUAAUGACGGUACCGGGAGAAUAAGCACCGGCUAACUCCGUG